CAGCAUACAAAUUUGGAGACAGGGAAGAAUCCCCACUCUCUCCAAGAGGGUCUUGAUUUUUUUUUUUAUUAUUGCUUUGCUCACUUCCCCUUUCAGCAAUGCUUUUUGCCCACCAUCCAAAUACUCCCGAUUACGACAGUGAAGAGUCACACGUUUUCUAUAAAGAUGUCCUUCAUCACUUUCUUCAACGGCCUUACGUUUUUCUAAACAUUUUACCUAGUCUACAACGCAUCUUAGUUAUUGUUCAAUUCUAUGGCUGUAAUGUUUUCAUUAUUGCCCCUGAGAGAUAUGGUUCCUUUUCUAAUUAGAUUUAAGCAUCUUGGAAUCGGAUUCGCCUUUGUCUUCCUCACAGUACACAACGUUGGGUCAUCUAUAAAGUUUAGCUCUGUGAUUCUCAACUGGGUGUAAUUUUUGCCUCCCAGAAGACAUUUGGCAAUGUCUACAGAUAUUUUUGAUUUUCGCAACUUGGCGCAGGGCGGGGUACUACUGGCAUUUAAAGGUACACACCAGAGAUGCUCUUAACCUCUUCCUACAACGCACAGCACUGCCUCCUACAAUAAAGAAUCUUCCGGCUCCAAAUGGCAAUAGUGCUACAUAAGAAACACUGAGUUAGUAGAAUGACCUAGUGAAAGCCAAGCCUCCGAAAGGGCGGAGGACGUUACCAGGUGGAAACGCGAAAUGCACUGGCCGGUGGACCGUAAUUAAGUCAAGAGGCCGGGGACUGGCCGGGGCUUACCCGGUUGUCCUAGACCUGGGCAGGGUGGAGGUAUAAGGCCAACAUCCGCGUCACGCGGAAUCUGGGACGUCCCUCAGAACCCGGAGCGCCCGCCCCCCACUCGCUCCAACCCCUACCUGUAGCGAGACGCCGACAACUGAAACACCCAGUCAGUCGGCGCGCCGGAGACCCGCGCUAAGCCGCAGCUUCACCAAGGAUUCCUGGAGCAGUACUCGCGAUAUCCCGCCGAUGCGCUCUCGCGAGAUAUGGGCGGAUCUUCCGGGCCGUCUCGCGCAGCCGGACGCAUGCGUCGCAGCAUUCCAGACGAAUGCGGGUCGGCCUGGUGGGCGCUGGGAGUGGCGGGAUGGGCUCUGAGCAGUAAAAAGUCUGUCCUGCCUGCUUGCCUGCCUUCGGCUCUCCCCGCCUCUUCUGGUUUCCGCCUUCAGCUGCCUUUGUCAUGUCUAACAUGCCCCCCAAGUAUGAUGUUUUGAGUCAAGAUGAACUGCGCAAAAAGCUGUACCAGACGUUUAAGGAUCGGGGUAUACUGGACACACUUAAGGUAUCAGAUUUAGGCAUGUCUGUGUCAUAACUUUUACAAGUGUAACCUGUAACAAGUAGUUCACGUUUAAAUUCAUACAGAGCUUGGGGUUUAAACAUAGUGAAAUAGAUAAACCAUAUUGGCGAGCUACAUUUUUAUAUGGAAAAUGUUGAGUUUGAGACGUCUUUAAAAAGCAUAUCCAGAUACUAGAUUUAUUGAAUUGACAUUAAGAUAGGAGUGGGUAACAUUUAUGUAGCGAAUACAUUUUAAUAAGUUUAGGCUUGUUUUAUAAGUGUGAUUUACAGGUUCUUGAAUUGAUAAGUGGUUUUGUAGUAUGUUUGGAUGACAAAGGACAUUGACACUAUAUAAAAUAUAUCAAGUAUACUGCUUACUGUAGAACAGAAUAAGGAAUGAAAACUUUUUUCUUUAAAAUACAUUAGAAUGUAUGAGGACUGGAGUUGUGGCUCAAGUGGUAGAGUGCCGCUUUGCAAGCAUGG
ensembl:lncRNA